GACGAACGCUGGCGGCGCGCUUAACACAUGCAAGUCGAGCGAAGCGGCGGACGGGUGAGUAACACGUGAGUAACCUGCCUUAGACCUUGGGAUAGCACCGGGAAACCGGGAUUAAUACCAAAUGGUCUAAGAUGGACUCGCGUCCCAUUAGCGAGUUGGUGAGGGAACGGCCCACCAAGGCGACGAAGGGUGUCCGGCCUGGGAGAGGGAACGGCCACGUUGGCAAUGAGGAACGGUCCAAACUCUACGGGAGGCAGGAGUGUGGAAUAUAGCACGAUGGAGGGAACUCUGAUGCAGCGACGCCGGGUAAACGAAGAAGGCUUUCGAGUCGUAAAGUUCUUUUAGAUGGGAAGCGGUACCAUAAGAAAAAGCCCCGGCUAACUACGUGCCAGCAGCCGCGGUAAUUC
rnacentral:rRNA from 1 species